rnacentral:rRNA from 1 species
CAGUAGCCGCGGUAAUACGAAGGGUGCAAGCGUUAAUCGGAAUUACUGGGCGUAAAGCGUGCGUAGGCGGUUUGUUAAGUCUGUUGUGAAAUCCCCGGGCUCAACCUGGGAAUGGCAAUGGAUACUGGCAAGCUAGAGUGUGUCAGAGGAUGGUGGAAUUCCCGGUGUAGCGGUGAAAUGCGUAGAGAUCGGGAGGAACAUCAGUGGCGAAGGCGGCCAUCUGGGACAACACUGACGCUGAGGCACGAAAGCGUGGGGAGCAAACAGGAUUAGAUACCCCUGUAGUCCCUGUCUCUUAUAU